GAACGGUAACAGAAAGCAGCUUGCUGCUUUGCUGACGAGUGGCGGACGGGUGAGUAAUGUCUGGGAAACUGCCUGAUGGAGGGGGAUAACUACUGGAAACGGUAGCUAAUACCGCAUAACGUCGCAAGACCAAAGAGGGGGACCUUCGGGCCUCUUGCCAUCGGAUGUGCCCAGAUGGGAUUAGCUAGUAGGUGGGGUAAAGGCUCACCUAGGCGACGAUCCCUAGCUGGUCUGAGAGGAUGACCAGCCACACUGGAACUGAGACACGGUCCAGACUCCUACGGGAGGCAGCAGUGGGGAAUAUUGCACAAUGGGCGCAAGCCUGAUGCAGCCAUGCCGCGUGUAUGAAGAAGGCCUUCGGGUUGUAAAGUACUUUCAGCGGGGAGGAAGGGAGUAAAGUUAAUACCUUUGCUCAUUGACGUUACCCGCAGAAGAAGCACCGGCUAACUCCGUGCCAGCAGCCGCGGUAAUACGGAGGGUGCAAGCGUUAAUCGGAAUUACUGGGCGUAAAGCGCACGCAGGCGGUUUGUUAAGUCAGAUGUGAAUCCCCGGGCUCAACCUGGGAACUGCAUCUGAUACUGGCAAGCUUGAGUCUCGUAGAGGGGGGUAGAAUUCCAGGUGUAGCGGUGAAAUGCGUAGAGAUCUGGAGG
rnacentral:rRNA from 1 species